rnacentral:lncRNA from 1 species
ACUUCCCUUCUAUUCAGUAUGGAAAAAAAUCAGUAGAUUGUAUUUUAUCUAAUCACCUUAUUUAUCUUUUCACGUGGUUAGUCACUUCUUUUGUUUCUUUAUCCCUCUCCUUACAUCAAACAUGUAUAAAAGAUUCGAACAACUCUAGAUCUGCCGCAAUCGUAUAAUAAUUUUUAAUCUCACAUGAUGAAUUACAAUAUUUAAUUAAUUAUUUGGAUUUAAACAUGCUUUUGUUUGAUGCUAACAAAUUUUUAAUUUUCAGAUAUAGUGACGGGACGAUCGAAGUGUCAUACUAUCGACGAUUGUGAUUCUAAUGAGUGUCAGUGGGGGAUUGCCGUUCAGAGUCCCAUAUGUCGUGAUGGGGAAUGUUUUUGUGUUAGUCCCGGAACAUACUCUGGUUAUCAACAAGGAAAUGGAUUUGGUCACAAAGUUAACUCAUAGGAGUCUUCCUAGUUGUUUAAAUCUAUUGGAGU